rnacentral:rRNA from 1 species
CCUACGGGUGGCAGCAGUGGGGGAUAUUGCACAAUGGGGGAAACCCUGAUGCAGCGACGCCGCGUGUGGGAAGACGGUCCUCUGGAUUGUAAACCACUGUCCCCAGGGACGAAGAUGACGGUACCUGGGGAGGACGAUCCGGCUAACUAUGUGCCAGCAGCCGCGGUAAUACGUAGGGAGCGAGCGUUGUUCGGAAUUACUGGGUGUACAGUGUGCGUAGGCGGGGAUGCAAGUUGGGUGUCAAAACUACCGGCUCAACUGGUAGUCGCACUCGAAACUGCAGCCCUUGAGUGAAGUAGAGGCAGGCGGAAUUCCUAGUGUAGCGGUGAAAUGCGUAGAUAUUAGGAGGAACACCAGUGGCGAAGGCGGCCUGCUGGGCUUUUACUGACGCUGAGGCUCGAAAGUGUGGGGAGCAAACAGGAUUAGAUACCCUUGUAGUC